AUAAAAAUAAAGAAAUAUAUAGCCGGGCGGCUAUGCUAUUUCUUUUAUAUAUAAAAAACUAGAAAAACAGUGUAUAGCCGCCCGGCUAUACUAUUUCUUUAAAAAAUU
rnacentral:miRNA from 1 species